GCUCGUUGCUAAGCACCACGGCCAAUCACUGACACUGGUCUUUGCAUCGACAGAUCUCUAAGUCCAGCUCAAGGCUGUGGAAGGUUUCAUUGCGCACGUGCACGAGCCUGAGAAAAUGGAGGGAUUUAGCUCUUGAAGCAGCCUGGCUCUUCCAGAGGGGUGCUACGCUUUGUGGCUCUUUGGCCCCAUCUUAUGGACAACUAUAUUAUAAAUCGGAGAUGGAUGAUGGUCCUGCAGAGCAGGUGCCCCGGAAAUUUGACUUCUUAUUAUAAAGUCAAAGUGUAAUGACGACUCGGUUCCUCCCAGACUACACUCAGGAAUACCCUAGAGGUCACUGAUGUCCAGAAAAUCUGUGGCGAGCGUGGAAAUCUUACAAAGAUGGACACGUGAACAGAACCAUUACGCAUGGUAACGUGAAGACUAUGGAUGGUGCUAAAAUAAACAGGAGAUGGAAGACACUGGCUGGAGGUGGAAGGACACCAGUGAGGUUCCCUUUGCGUGAGACAUAUUCCAAGCUUGGGUGAGACCUUUCGGUGAUGAAGUUUUGAGUCAUUUGUGCUCUUAUAAAUGACCUCCAUCGAAAUAGGAACACUCCUCCAUUGCUGGUGGGAUUGCAAGCUUGUACAACCACUCUGGAAAUCAG